rnacentral:lncRNA from 1 species
CUCCAAACUAAAGGUAAAUAGGGGAAGUUCAUAAAACUUUCACCAUCGGACGGUUUCCUUUUUUUAACCAAAAUCAACUGUCGCAUUCCUCACUUGGUACGGUUUAGUUUCGCUGAAACAAAAACACAGAUCAUUCCAAAGAUAUGUAGUUAAAACAUAUUUCCUAAUUUGACAAAACAUCAACAUAGUAAAAAUAAUUAACAAAAUUCCUGAAUUGAAACUAUCAUAUAAUAGUCAAAUUCUUCCCUUGUAUCUCGACCAUUGGAACUUCUAUAAGGUACAAAGCAAACCACACGAUAACAUCACUUCGGAAAGAAUUGCUUAGAGUUACAUUUGUACAGACUACAAAUAAUAGCUACAGUGAAAGCAAUACGAGCUUCAAAAGAGAUGCCCACAGUUACGCAUAGUCUAAAAAAGUUGUAAACCUCUGAAACAGAUAUUUUCUGCCUUUUUAUCAUUCUUUUUUCUUUAUCACUGUAUAAUUUCAUGUUUAUGAUUGGAGCCGGUUUAUGUAGACUUUCUAUAAUUUUGUGUCUAUGAUUGGAGCCGGUUUUCUUAAUAAUAUU